rnacentral:misc_RNA from 1 species
AUACUGGAUUUCCUGCAGCAA